ACUCAAAUGAAUUGACGGGGGCCCGCACAAGCGGUGGAGCAUGUGGUUUAAUUCGACGCAACGCGAAGAACCUUACCUGGGCUCGAACGGCUUCUGAAUAGUUCUAGAAAUAGGACUAGUCCCGCAAGGGACAGGAGUCGAGGUGCUGCAUGGCUGUCGUCAGCUCGUGUCGUGAGAUGUUGGGUUAAGUCCCGCAACGAGCGCAACCCUUGUCCUGUGUUGCUAACCGAAAGGUGCACUCUCAGGAGACCGCCAGCGAUAAGUUGGAGGAAGGUGGGGAUGACGUCAAGUCAUCAUGGCCUUUAUGUCCAGGGCUACACACGUGCUACAAUGGGCGGUACAAAGCGGCGCAAACCCGCGAGGGGGAGCAAAUCGCAAAAAACCGCUCUCAGUUCGGAUUGCAGGCUGCAACUCGCCUGCAUGAAGCUGGAAUCGCUAGUAAUGGCAUAUCAGAACGAUGCCGUGAAUACGUUCCCGGGCCUUGUACACACCGCCCGU
rnacentral:rRNA from 1 species